AGAUUAGAUUCAGUAGGUGACCUGCGGAGGAUCAUUA
rnacentral:rRNA from 1 species